CGGACCGGCGCACGGGUGAGUAACACGUAUGGAACCUGCCCGCAGCAGGGGGAUAAGCGGAAGAAAUUCCGUCUAAUACCGCGUAACACCGCGGAGGGGCAUCCCUCGGCGGUUAAAGAUUCAUCGGCUGCGGAUGGCCAUGCGGCGCAUUAGCUAGUCGGCGGGGUAACGGCCCACCGAGGCGACGAUGCGUAGGGGUUCUGAGAGGAAGGUCCCCCACACUGGUACUGAGACACGGACCAGACUCCUACGGAAGGCAGCAG
rnacentral:rRNA from 1 species